rnacentral:SRP_RNA from 8 species
UAUAAAAGCUACUACAAUGAUACACACUGAAUUAGGUCAGGUCGGGAACGAAGCAGCCUUAAGGUGGCUCUGUCAUGUGUGGUAGCACUUUUUUAUUU